rnacentral:rRNA from 1 species
GACGAACGCUGGCGGCGUGCUUAACACAUGCAAGUCGAACGAAGUGGCGAACGGGUGAGUAAAGCGUAAUCAACCUGCCCGUCAGAGGGGGACAACAGUUGGAAACGACAGCUAAAACUGCUACCGGAGGGAGGGGAUUGCGUCUGAUUUGCUGGUUGGAGGGGUCACGGCCCACCAAGGCGAUGAUCAGUAGCCGGUCUGAGAGGAUGAACGGCCACAUUGGGACUGAGACACGGCCCAGACUCCUACGGGAGGCAGCAGUGGGGAAUCUUCCGCAAUGGACGAAAGUCUGACGGAGCAACGCCGCGUGAGUGAUGACGGCCUUCGGGUUGUAAAGCUCUGUUAAUCGGGACGCGGUACCGGAAUAGAAAGCCACGGCUAACUACGUGCCAGCAGCCGCGGUAAUUC